rnacentral:rRNA from 1 species
UACGUAGGGCGCAAGCGUUGUCCGGAUUUAUUGGGCGUAAAGAGCGUGUAGGCGGUUUGGUAGGUCCGCUGUGAAAACUCGAGGCUCAACCUCGAGACGCCGGUGGAAACCAUCAGACUAGAGUCCGGAAGAGGAGAGUGGAAUUCCUGGUGUAGCGGUGAAAUGCGCAGAUAUCAGGAAGAACACCCGUGGCGAAGGCGGCUCUCUAGUACGGUACUGACGCUGAGACGCGAAAGCGUGGGGAGCGAACAGG